GAAUUGGUCCAAAAUUUUUAGUGAUUUGAGUGAACCCUUCUCUCUCUCUCUCUCACUAGGAAUUUUUUAUUAUAAAAAUAGUUGGCUGGGAGCAAACUUCUUAACUUGCUAUAUGGCAGGUCAUUGUAUAAGUUGAUGCCUAUAUGUUGCCUUUAUCUGCAUUUGCACCUGCACUUUACUCAGUUUCUCUGUAACAUAUAUAAGAACACAUGUCAGUUCAGAAAGAAGUGAAAUGUAUAUAGGAAUAGAGGAACUGAGAAUGAGGUGCAGGUACAUCUGCAGGUGAAUGCCAUAUUGGCCAUGAUUUCACUUUACUCAAGCUGUUUGUAACUUUGUAUGUGGUCAUCUAGUGAGGUUGCAGCAGCUGUUUGUGCUUCCAAGUUUUUUUUUUUUAUCAUAAAGGAAUAUACACACACACAAACACAGUUCUUAUGCAGAUCUAGAUCUACGUACGGAGGUUGAGUCGAAUCUGUAACGUUAAUUAAAAUUUAAACAAAGAAUGCGUCUUAGAAUGCAAAAUUUCUAGAAGACAUUGGAAGUAUUUGGAAGGUAAAGCUAGCAAAGAGUGCUUGGCAGUUGGCACAGUAUAGCACAAUCUAGAAAAGGAGGAUAAAAGGUCAUGAAUCAAACUUUAAGAUAAAGGCAGAUAUGAAUAUGAUGCUUCAAAUCUGAACCAAUCAGCACUGAAGUAUGCAUAACCAAAUAUUAUGUAUUAUAAAACGGUUACUUCUCUUCUCCAGAUUUCCAUCUAUCUGUGCCGUUAUUAAUAUUUUGUUACACUAGCCCACUUAUCACCACAAGUUAAAUAGUUAUUUCUUUCUACUCCAAAACAGGGUUUGCAGACAUUUACAUGUAUUGAAAUCUGCCUUUGUUGAUCGACUUGAAUACCUUCCUUAAAUUGAGAUUUUGGUAUUCCACAAUUGAAAAGAACUGAAGGCACAUGAGAAGCUAGCAUGAAUCAUAAUAUGUAUACUUGGCUCAGCUUCAAAGUCUAAAUUGGGGCGUGAACUUUCUGAUAACCGAGUAUUUCUUUGUUAUUACAGCGAGGUGAAUUCUUUUCUUAUUAUGUAGUUGUCCACUGUUGUUUAUUUUGGAAUUAUUAUUUUUAUUAUGUAGUAUGCACUCAUUUUCUCUUCUAUUUUAUUUUUAUCUUAUUUUUUAUAUGUUUCUUAUUUUUCAUUAUAUUAUUUAUCA